AUUGAACGCUGGCGGCAGGCCUAACACAUGCAAGUCGAGCGGAUGAGAGGAGCUUGCUUCUCGAUUCAGCGGCGGACGGGUGAGUAAUGCCUAGGAAUCUGCCUGGUAGUGGGGGACAACGUUUCGAAAGGAACGCUAAUACCGCAUACGUCCUACGGGAGAAAGCAGGGGACCUUCGGGCCUUGCGCUAUCAGAUGAGCCUAGGUCGGAUUAGCUAGUUGGUGAGGUAAUGGCUCACCAAGGCGACGAUCCGUAACUGGUCUGAGAGGAUGAUCAGUCACACUGGAACUGAGACACGGUCCAGACUCCUACGGGAGGCAGCAGUGGGGAAUAUUGGACAAUGGGCGAAAGCCUGAUCCAGCCAUGCCGCGUGUGUGAAGAAGGUCUUCGGAUUGUAGAGCACUUUAAGUUGGGAGGAAGGGUUGUAGAUUAAUACUCUGCAAUUUUGACGUUACCGACAGAAUAAGCACCGGCUAACUCUGUGCCAGCAGCCGCCGCAGUAA
rnacentral:rRNA from 1 species